rnacentral:rRNA from 1 species
AUGCUUCUCCUAAAGACUAAGCCAUGCAUGUCUUCGAAUAAGAGGAAGCAAUUCUUUCUGGAUCUGCGAACGGCUCCGCAAACCAGUUGUAAACCAUAGCAAGCAUGCUCCGGGGAGGCCGCAAGGCUGACCUGGGGCUAUAAGGAUAACCCCGGUAAUUCUGAGGCUAAUACAUGAACGUACCCCUGGCCGAUGGGCAACCUGAGGCUGGGGACCGUGCGAGACCUCGCAAAAAGAAUCGGAGAAGCCG